CCUACGGGUGGCUGCAGUCGGGAAUUUUGCGCAAUGGACGAAAGUCUGACGCAGCAACGCCGCGUGAGGGAUGACGGCCUUCGGGUUGUAAACCUCUUUUGUCAGGGACGAUGAUGACGGUACCUGACGAAUAAGCCACGGCUAACUACGUGCCAGCAGCCGCGGUAAUACGUAGGUGGCAAGCGUUGUCCGGAUUUACUGGGCGUAAAGAGCGCGCAGGCGGUCGUUCAAGUCGCGUGUGAAAGCCCCCGGCUCAACUGGGGAGGGUCACGCGA
rnacentral:rRNA from 1 species